rnacentral:rRNA from 1 species
CGCGGCCUAUCAGCUUGUUGGUGAGGUAAUGGCUCACCAAGGCGACGACGGGUAGCCGGCCUGAGAGGGUGACCGGCCACACUGGGACUGAGACACGGCCCAGACUCCUACGGGAGGCAGCAGUGGGGAAUAUUGCACAAUGGGCGAAAGCCUGAUGCAGCGACGCCGCGUGAGGGAUGACGGCCUUCGGGUUGUAAACCUCUUUCAGUAGGGAAGAAGCGAAAGUGACGGUACCUGCAGAAGAAGCGCCGGCUAACUACGUGCCAGCAGCCGCGGUAAUACGUAGGGCGCAAGCGUUAUCCGGAUCUAUUGGGCGUAAAGAGCUCGUAGGCGGUUUGUCGCGUCUGCCGUGAAAGUCCGAGGCUCAACCUCGGAUCUGCGGUGGGUACGGGCAGACUAGAGUGAUGUAGGGGAAACUGGAAUUCCUGGUGUAGCGGUGAAAUGCCCAGAUAUCAGGAGGAACACCGAUGGCGAAGGCAGGUCUCUGGGCAUUUACUGACGCUGAAGAACGAAAGCAUGGGGAGCGAACAGGAUUAAAUACCCCUGGUAGUCCAUGCCGUNAACGUUUGGGCACUAGGUGUGGGGGACAUUCCACGUUUUCCCCCCCGUAACUAACGCAUUAAGUGCCCCCCCCCUGGGGAAUACNAAAGGGCAAUUUCCAGCCNCCCUGGCGGCCNGNUUACUAAUGGGAUCCCAACCUCCGGUACCCAAGCUUUGGC